AGAGUUUGAUCUUGGCUCAGGAUGAACGUUGGCGGAGUGCCUAAUACAUGCAAGUCGGACGAAGCACUAGUUUAUAAUUAGUGACUGAGUGGCGGACGGCUGAGUAACACGUGGGUGACCUACCCCGAAGUGGGGAACAACUUUCGGAAACGGAAGCUAAUACCGCAUAUGGUUGCUGAAGUUAGAGAACAGCAACUAAAGGCCAUCGUUCGUAAGAAUGAACCACUCGCAAGAGUGGUGGUCGCUUUGGGAGGGACUCGCGGCCCAUCAGCUUGUUGGUGAGGUAAUGGCUCACCAAGGCUAAGACGGGUAGGGGGCCUGAGAGGGUGGCCCCCCAGACUGGAACUGAAACACGAUCCAGACGCCUACGGGCGGCAGCAGUAGGGGAUAUUGCACAAUGGGCGAAAGCCUGAUGCAGCAACUUCGCGUGCGCGAUGAAGGCCUUCGGGUUGUAAAGCGCUUUUCGGGGGGAAGAGAAAGGACGGUACCCCCGGAAUAAGUCACGGCUAACUACGUGCCAGCAGCCGCGGUAAAACGUAGGUGGCGAACGUUAUCCGGAUUUACUGGGCGUAAAGCGCGUGUAGGCGGUCGAUUAAGUCGGGCAUGAAAGCUCCUGGCUCAACUAGGAGAGGUUGUCCGAAACUAACUGACUGGAGGGCAAGAGAGGGGGGUGGAAUUCCGAGUGUAGCGGUGAAAUGCGUAGAUAUUCGGAGGAACACCAGUGGCGAAGGCGGCCCCCUGGCUUGCUCCUGACGCUGAGACGCGAAAGCGUGGGGAGAGAACGGGAUUAGAAACCCCGGUAUUCCAUGCCGUAAACGAUGAUUACUAGGUGUUGGUGGCUUUGAAACCAUCAGUGCCGGAGCUAACGCAUUAAGUAAUCCGCCUGGGGACUACGGCCGCAAGGUUAAAACUCAAAAGAAUUGACGGGGGCCCGCACAAGCAGCGGAGCGUGUGGUUUAAUUCGAUGCAACGCGAAGAACCUUACCCGGACUCGACAUACAGGUGCUAGGAAAGGGAAACCGGACCGACCUUCGGGAGCCUGUACAGGUGAUGCAUGGCUGUCGUCAGCUCGUGCCGUGAGGUGUCAGGUUAAGUCCUGUAACGAGCGCAACCCUUAUCGUGUGUUAUACGUGUCACGCGAGACUGCCGGUAUAAAACCGGGGGAAGGCGGGGAUGACGUCAAGUCAGCAUGUCCUUUAUGUCCGGGGCUACACACACGCUACAAUGGUCAGGACAAUAGGUUGCCAAACCGCGAGGUGGAGCCAAUCCUCCAAACCUGACCCCAGUUCGGAUUGCAGGCUGCAACUCGCCUGCAUGAAGUCGGAGUUGCUAGUAACCGCGCGUCAGCACAGUGCGGUGAAUACGUUCCCGGGCCUUGUACACACCGCCCGUCACGUCAUGGAAGCUGGCUACACCUGAAGCCGUUGGCCUAACCGCAAGGAGGGAAACGUCGAAGGUGGGGUUGGUGACUGGGACGAAGUCGUAACAAGGUA
rnacentral:rRNA from 1 species